UCCAUCCCAGCGGUCAGAACCUGAAUUCUGGCUAGCCCCACCACCAUGGGCUAAAGAAGCUCUGGGGUUCUAAAUAAACUUGAAAGGUAGCCUAGGCUACAAGGACCUCAAUUAUUGGCUAAGUAAAAAGAACCCCUUGCUACCUUAGAAAUCAACUUGCCCAGGAUGACUGUACAAAAGAGACCAUGGGACAGCAAGGAGGAGAGAUAAUCCGUCAAGAGGAAAAGAAAAGCAAUAAAAGUAGGGGGAAACAUGACCAGCAAAAAAGAAACAAAAUUCAUCUCCCUCAUCUAAACCCAAGAGGGCCGAUUCUUCUUGGUAAAAUUUUAAGAGCACUCAAGAGUUAACAUUAUUAAAUUCAAAGGAAGCAGUACUAUACUUGCAAGCUAUAAAUGAUUGAGACAGCUAGAAUUUGACUCUAGCACAAACAGAGAAACAAACAGACCACAUCAAGCCAUAACCAGAUCAAGAUCCUCUUUAUAACAAUUCUAACACAAAAUGGAAUAUUCAUCACUCACACCUACUGGCCAC